rnacentral:rRNA from 1 species
CGGUGUUUAACUGGCGUGAUGUGGGACGUCCUACCGGUGGGCUUAGCCUCGCGAGGGGCGGCCCAACUAAUAUCCCGUCGCGGUGCUCUUUACUGAGUGUCGAGUCGGGCCGGUACGUUUACUUUGAACAAAUUAGAGUGCUUAAAGCAGGCUAUCCUCGCCUGAAUACUGCGUGCAUGGAAUAAUGGAAUAGGACCUCGGUUCUAUUUUGUUGGUUUUCGGAACCCCGAGGUAAUGAUUAAUAGGGACAGAUGGGGGCAUUCGUAUUGCGACGUUAGAGGUGAAAUUCUUGGAUCGUCGCAAGACGGACAGAAGCGAAAGCAUUUGCCAAAAAUGUUUUCAUUAAUCAAGAACGAAAGUUAGAGGUUCGAAGGCGAUCAGAUACCGCCCUAGUUCUAACCAUAAACGAUGCCAGCUAGCGAUCCGCCGAAGUUCCUCCGAUGACUCGGCGGGCAGCUUCCGGGAAACCAAAGCUUUUGGGUUCCGGGGGAAGUAUGGUUGCAAAGCUGAAACUUAAAGGAAUUGACGGAAGGGCACCACCAGGAGUGGAGCCUGCGGCUUAAUUUGACUCAACACGGGAAACCUCACCAGGCCCAGACACCGGAAGGAUUGACAGAUUGAUAGCUCUUUCUUGAUUCGGUGGGUGGUGGUGCAUGGCCCGUUCUUAGUUGGUGGAGCGAUUUGUCUGGUUAAUUCCGAUAACGAACGAGACUCUAGCCUGCUAAAUAGGCGUACCUUAUGGUAUCGCGAAGGCCCCCGGCUUCGGCCGGUGGGUUUUUACUACCAACGUACAAACAAAUCUUCUUAGAGGGACAGGCAG